UUGGUCCUCCCGCAUCGGAAUCUCGUCGACCUGGUCAGGACCGGAAGGUAGCAGCCAAGGCGAGUCCUUCGAGUGCCGGGAUGUGGCUGGC
rnacentral:SRP_RNA from 1 species